GACGAACGCUGGCGGCGUGCCUAACACAUGCAAGUCGAGCGAAAGGGCGCGAAGUUUCUUUCUCUCUCGAUAGCGGAGGACGUGUGAGUAACGUGUGGAUACUCUCCCUCUAAGACUGGGAUACCUUCGGGACACCGGAGCUAAUACCGGAUAAUAUUUUGCCCCGCAUGGUUCAAUAGUGAAAGACGGUCUUGAUGUUGCUUCUACAUGGAUCCGCGCUGCAUUAGCUAGUUGGUAAGGUAACGGCUUACCCAGGCAACGAUGCGUAGCCGACGUGGGAGGGGGGUCGGCCACACGGGAGGGUGGACGGGGACCAGAGUCCUGAGGUAGGCAGCAGUAGGGAAUCUUCCGCAAUGGUCGAGAGCCUGACAGAGCAACGCCGCGUGAGAGACGGAGGUCUUCGGUGCGGGAUACUCGGUUAUUGGGUGAGAACAUAUUUGUAAGGAACUGAGCAGUUCGUGACGGUACCUGAACAGGAAGCCACGGCUAACUACGUG
rnacentral:rRNA from 1 species